rnacentral:snRNA from 1 species
GUGCUCACUUCGGCAGCACAUAUACUAAAAUUGGAACGAUACAGAGAAGAUUGGCAUGGCCCCUGCACAAGGAUGACACGCAGAUUCGUGAAGUGUUCCAUAUUAAA